GAUGAAGAACGCAGCGAAAUGCGAUAAGUAAUGUGAAUUGCAGAAUUCAGUGAAUCAUCGAAUCUUUGAACGCACAUUGCGCCCGCCAGUAUUCUGGCGGGCAUGCCUGUUCGAGUGUCAUUACAACCCUCAGGCCCCCGGGCCUGGCGUUGGGGAUCGGCGGAGCCCCCCGUGGGCACACGCCGUCCCCCAAAUGCAGUGGCGGUCCCGCCGCAGCUUCCAUCGCGUAGUAGCUAACACCUCGCGACUGGAGAGCGGCGCGGCCACGCCGUAAAACACCCAACUCUUCUGAAGUUGACCUCGAAUCAGGUAGGAAUACCCGCUGAACUUAAGCAUAUCAAUAAGCGGAGGA
rnacentral:misc_RNA from 1 species